rnacentral:rRNA from 1 species
ACUUAGAUAGUUACCCUAAACAAAACUAUCCGCCAGAGAACUACUAGCAAUAGCUUAAAACUCAAAGGACUUGGCGGUGCUUUACAUCCCUCUAGAGGAGCCUGUUCUAUAAUCGAUAAACCCCGAUAUACCUCACCAUCUCUUGCUAAUUCAGCCUAUAUACCGCCACGUUCAGCAAAACAAU